GAUGAACGCUAGCUACAGGCUUAACACAUGCAAGUCGAGGGGUAGCAGGGUAGCAAUACCGCUGACGACCGGCGCACGGGUGAGUAACACGUAUCCAACCUUCCCAUAACUCGGGGAUAGCCUUUCGAAAGAAAGAUUAAUACCCGAUAGUACUUUUUCAAGGCAUCUUGAGAAAGUUAAAGAUUUAUUGGUUAUGGAUGGGGAUGCGUUCCAUUAGAUAGUUUGUGAGGUAACGGCUCACCAAGUCUUCGAUGGAUAGGGGUUCCGAGAGGAAGGUCCCCCACAUUGGUACUGAGACACGGACCAAACUCCUACGGGAGGCAGCAGUGAGGAAUAUUGGUCAAUGGGCGAGAGCCUGAACCAGCCAAGUAGCGUGAAGGAUGAAGGUCCUAUGGAUUGUAAACUUCUUUUAUAGUAGAAUAAAGUGACCUACGUGUAGGUUUUUGUAUGUAUACUAUGAAUAAGGAUCGGCUAACUCCGUGCCAGCAGCCGCGGUAACAC
rnacentral:rRNA from 1 species